CGCAAUGUGAGCAAUCGCGACGGGGGGAUCCCAAGUGCCAUUCUUAACGGGAUGGCUUUUCUUAAGUGUAAAAAGCUUUUGGAAUAAGAGCUGGGCAAGACCGGUGCCAGCAGCC
rnacentral:rRNA from 1 species